rnacentral:lncRNA from 1 species
CCGGCGAGGGUGCACGAAGUCAUAGAAAGGAGGGGAAGGAAGAGAGAAAAGAGGAGAAGGGCUUACCUCCGACUCCGGUGAGGUCUCUAACGAGUAUUUGAGAUGAACAUGAUGAGGACAUCCGUAGCUUCAACGAAAAAAUUCGAGAAAAAUAAAAGGAGAAAUUCGGUGCUCGUCGUGGCCAACCUUAGAGGAAAGGAGAGGGGGUUUUUAUAGGGAGGGGAGGUCGAAUCCCCCUUGAAUUCAGCUUCUCUUCCGAUGUAUUUGAGUGGAAGAAGACUCC